GGCGGUAAUAGCGACAGGGAAACGCCCGGUCCCAUCCCGAACCCGGAAGCUAAGCCUGUCAGCGCCGAUGAUACUG
rnacentral:rRNA from 2 species